CCAGGCACUAAAGUGCCUGGCUACUAUCUGUCGCCCCUUUUGGGGCU
rnacentral:sRNA from 1 species